AUAUUUACAUAUGUGCAUUAUUUGGCAGCAAAACUAAAUAAAAGAUAAGAUCUAUUGUAUUUUAUUAUGCUUUUCGUGAUCUUGGUUAUAGACAAUCAACCAAUUUAUUUGCUGUACUGUAUAUGACACAGGUUUUGUGUCUUAUUUUCACGUUAAAGGUAAGUUUGAUGUCAAAAAUUAAAGGUAACGUUAAGUGGUUUAAUGAAUCCAAAGGAUUCGGGUUUAUCACUCCAGAAGAUGGUAGCAAAGACGUAUUUGUGCAUUUCUCUGCUAUUCAGAGCAACGGAUUUAAAACUCUGGCAGAAGGUCAAAAGGUAGAGUUUGAAAUCACUGACGGCGCUAAAGGUCCAUCUGCUGUAAACGUUGUCGCUAUCUGAUUUUAACUCCGUAUUUUGAAAAACCCGUUGAUACAACGGGUUUUUUUU
rnacentral:sRNA from 1 species